rnacentral:rRNA from 1 species
GAUGAACGCUGGCGGCGUGCCUAAUACAUGCAAGUCGAACGCACAGCGAAAGGUGCUUGCACCUUUCAAGUGAGUGGCGAACGGGUGAGUAACACGUGGACAACCUGCCUCAAGGCUGGGGAUAACAUUUGGAAACAGAUGCUAAUACCGAAUAGAACUCAGUGUCGCAUGACACAAAGUUAAAAGGCGCUUUGGCGUCACCUAGAGAUGGAUCCGCGGUGCAUUAGUUAGUUGGUGGGGUAAAGGCCUACCAAGACAAUGAUGCAUAGCCGAGUUGAGAGACUGAUCGGCCACAUUGGGACUGAGACACGGCCCAAACUCCUACGGGAGGCUGCAGUAGGGAAUCUUCCACAAUGGGCGAAAGCCUGAUGGAGCAACGCCGCGUGUGUGAUGAAGGCUUUCGGGUCGUAAAGCACUGUUGUAUGGGAAGAACAGCUAGAAUAGGGAAUGAUUUUAGUUUGACGGUACCAUACCAGAAAGGGACGGCUAAAUACGUGCCAGCAGCCGCGGUAAUACGUAUGUCCCGAGCGUUAUCCGGAUUUAUUGGGCGUAAAGCGAGCGCAGACGGUUGAUUAAGUCUGAUGUGAAAGCCCGGAGCUCAACUCCGGAAUGGCAUUGGAAACUGGUUAACUUGAGUGCAGUAGAGGUAAGUGGAACUCCAUGUGUAGCGGUGGAAUGCGUAGAUAUAUGGAAGAACACCAGUGGCGAAGGCGGCUUACUGGACUGUAACUGACGUUGAGGCUCGAAAGUGUGGGUAGCAAACAGGAUUAGAUACCCUGGUAGUCCACACCGUAAACGAUGAACACUAGGUGUUAGGAGGUUUCCGCCUCUUAGUGCCGAAGCUAACGCAUUAAGUGUUCCGCCUGGGGAGUACGACCGCAAGGUUGAAACUCAAAGGAAUUGACGGGGACCCGCACAAGCGGUGGAGCAUGUGGUUUAAUUCGAAGCAACGCGAAGAACCUUACCAGGUCUUGACAUCCUUUGAAGCUUUUAGAGAUAGAAGUGUUCUCUUCGGAGACAAAGUGACAGGUGGUGCAUGGUCGUCGUCAGCUCGUGUCGUGAGAUGUUGGGUUAAGUCCCGCAACGAGCGCAACCCUUAUUGUUAGUUGCCAGCAUUCAGAUGGGCACUCUAGCGAGACUGCCGGUGACAAACCGGAGGAAGGCGGGGACGACGUCAGAUCAUCAUGCCCCUUAUGACCUGGGCUACACGCGUGCUACAAUGGCGUAUACAACGAGUUGCCAACCCGCGAGGGUGAGCUAAUCUCUUAAAGUACGUCUCAGUUCGGAUUGUAGUCUGCAACUCGACUACAUGAAGUCGGAAUCGCUAGUAAUCGCGGAUCAGCACGCCGCGGUGAAUACGUUCCCGGGUCUUGUACACACCGCCCGUCACACCAUGGGAGUUCGUAAUGCCCAAAGCCGGUGGCCUAACCUUUUAGGAAGGAGCCGUCUAAGGCAGGACAGAUGACUGGGGUGAAG